rnacentral:rRNA from 1 species
UCCUACGGGGGGCAGCAGUGGGGAAUAUUGGGCAAUGGGCGCAAGCCUGACCCAGCAACGCCGCGUGAAGGAAGAAGGCCCUCGGGUUGUAAACUUCUUUUGUCAGGGACGAAGAAAGUGACGGUACCUGACGAAUAAGCCACGGCUAACUACGUGCCAGCAGCCGCGGUAAUACGUAGGGGGCAAGCGUUAUCCGGAUUUACUGGGUGUAAAGGGAGCGUAGACGGUGAUGCAAGUCUGAAGUGAAAGGCGGGGGCCCAACCCCCGGACUGCUUUGGAAACUGUAUGGCUGGAGUGCAGGAGAG